rnacentral:lncRNA from 1 species
AUAUGAGAGUAUGGCUUGAAUUGACUUACAAAAGAGAACAAUUAUAGAUUCUAAAAUAGAAUGCAAGCAAUAUUUUAGGAAAACUAACCUGGUAAGGCAUGAGAGAUACAAUGGGGCAGGAUCGGGGGCCGGGGGAAAUGAAGGUAAGGAAACCAGGCAGGAACCUACUGCAGUCAUUCAAUGCUGAAGCAGUGAGAGUGAAGACCAUGGUAGUAUCAGUGAGACUGACCAGGAAUGAAGGAAUUUAGGCAGAACUGUGGGUUCUGGCUGACUAGAGAGCUGGGAAAAGGGAAGAGCAGUAAAGUUGGGCUGGUGAAAGGCUCUGUUAUAAAGUGCUAGUUAAUAUUCCAAUAUUCAGUGGAAGACCAAGGAGCUAACUGGUGAAUUUUGCCCUUUCAUAUCAAAGCAAGGCUAAUAAUUAACAUAAUUAAUCUUUUAUGCUUUAUUAAAGGUUUGGCAUAGCUAAGGUUUGACUGAGUACUGUUCUCGCAAGUGAACCUAGCGGGAAAGCUGAAGAAGCUAUAGAGAAAUAGCUUCAGCAAGAAGGAGGAGGAACUUUGCUUCAGAAAGCUACACUGAGGGCUCCUUUCUGGGUAUAGCUCAGUCAGCUGUUAGUCUGUUGCCAGGAGGUUGAGUCAGAUGCCUUUGUGAUUAUGUACCUUCAUAUCACUAAGGAAUCACAGCAAUGUGUUUAAUUUGCUUUUUAUUGCCUAUUCUUUGGCUCUCAAAAGACAAAGAGUUUGAAAGGGAGUAGUAGAGAGACUUGGAAGAAGGGAAAAUACAUCUAUUCCAGGUAGACAACCAUGAGCUGAUGGAGUGUUCUGA